UACGGGGGGGGGUAAGCGUUGUUCGGAAUUACUGGGCGUAAAGGGCUCGUAGGCGGCCAACUAAGUCAGACGUGAAAUCCCCUCAGCUUAACUGGGGAACUGCGUCUGAUACUGGAUGGCUUGGAUUUGGGAGAGGAAUGCGGAAUUCCAGGUGUAGCGGUGAAAUGCGUAGAUAUCUGGAGGAACACCGGUGGCGAAGGCGGCAUUCUGGACCAAUAUUGACGCUGAGGAGCGAAAGCCAGGGGAGCAAACGGG
rnacentral:rRNA from 1 species